GCGACCAACUGAACCGUUACCUUCUCUUCGCCCCUCUGAGCUGCCUACAAAGAUAAGGUGGUACCAGCAGUGGCUGCGCCACCCGGCCCGCGAUUCUGCUGGGGCCACUCUCCUUCCUCCGCGGCUUGGCAGCUGCCACGAAAGCAAGAUUUUGCUCUGCCCGGGCUCCCGCCACACCCCUGCCUGCCCAGCGGACCGAGGAAUCUGGGAAGAAACGCCCCAAGUUUCUCUUAAACGUUAGGACACUAAUGGGUGGUUUGCUGAACAACAAAGAGACCUACCUCCUCUUCCUAACCUGAAGACUGCAUUUGCAAACAAUGAUUGCUCAUUGGCAUCUUCAGAGAUGAUGAAAAACAUCCGAAGCCACGUCAGAGAAUGAAGUCUAACAACUUUUUGAAAAGACGUUGGAAGAUACGAAUUUACAGGCAAUAUCAUGAUCAUGAACAUCUGCAAAACGGGCCACAGGAAGAUGUCCACAGCAACAUCGGAGAAUAGAGAACUAAAUCAACCAAGUGAAACUCCACAUCCCCAAGGCAGGAAGCUCCCCUUUUGCUCAGUUGAGAGACAUCUGACUAUUAAGGAAAAACAGAAUGAAAGCUUUUUUGCUAUCAUUAUCUAUUGCUGUAAUUUGAAAUGCUAUUUUCUAAUAGGAUUUUGAGAGAACCUAAGGAUUAACAAGAUAACACAAGUGAAAGAACUUUGCAAAUAAUAAAAUCCUUUAUAUUUAA